UUGCUAAGUUGUGUCCAAAUCUUUUGCGACCGCAUGGACUGAGCCCACCAGGUUUCCUUUGAACAUGGGAUUCCCCAGGCAAGAAUACUGGAGUGGGUUGCCAUUUCCUUCUCCAGGGGAUCUUCUCCACCCAGGAACUGAACUCAUGUCUCCUAUAUUAGCAGGUUUGGCCCAUAGGCCCCCGAGGACUCUUACUGUCUGAGCCAGAAGUGAUGCCUCCAUCACCCGGAAAUUCCCAAUGAAAGGACUGCCUGCCGCAGAACAUGGAGAGAAGGGAGGGCCCAGUGAUGCUGUAUACAGUCCAGAGGCCUGGGCUUGAACCUUCCCCUGCCACCUACCUGUUAUAGUGUGGCAAGUUAUUUCAUCUCUUACACUUCAGUUUCAUCGUCUGUAAAAUGAGGGUAGAAGCAGCAGUACCCGCCUCAUAGGAGUGUGAGCUGAGAACACAAACACUAAGAACAGUGUCUGGCCCUGUAUUGUAAACUGCACUAAAUAUACGAUCUCUAUUUGGCAUGUACUGGAAUCCCAGGGAUGGGGGCCCCUGGUGGGCUUCUAUCUCUGGGUCGCACAGAGUUGGACACGACUGAAGUGACUUAGCAGCAACAGCAGCAGCAGUACUAUAUUCUGGAGCCAUACUAUAUGCCACUACUAUAAGAAAUCUUGGUUGCUGUUGUUUGCGAAGGCGGCUGGAGGUAAUCCUGGGUCCAUCAUCUGAUAGCUGUGUGGUCCUAGGCAAUCAUGCCUGUUCUGUGUGCCUCAGUUUUGCACCUGUAAAAUGCGAGCAGCCUCAACCUCAGAGGGUGAUGGUGAGGUUUAAACAUAAUGAUAACCAUGGAAGCCCCUGGCACUGUGCAUGGCCUAUGUUUAUGGAAUCUUAAAAAAUUAUGUGAUCUCAUUGUUAAAUGAGACCUUAAGAGACACUCUGGUACAAGAGAGGAGGGAGGAAGAUGGUUAAAUCAAAUAAAGAUGGAAAGAGGAGAAAGAAAAGGUAAAAACAAAGUGAAAUGGUCCACAGCAUGAGAAUUGGAGGGAGACUAAUGAAGAGGAAGAGGAGAGAAUGAGAAGGGAGAGGAAAAACAAAAAAAAGAAAAGAGCAGAGAAG
ensembl:lncRNA